AUAUCAGUCAUGCAUAGCAUAUCAAUAAGCGGAGGAAAAGAAACUAACAAGGAUUCCCUUAGUAACGGCGAGUGAAGCGGGAAGAGCUCAAAUUUGAAAUCUUCAAGGUUUUACCUUGACGAAUUGUAGUUUAAAGAAGUGUUUUCUGUUGAAGUUUUGGUAAAAGUUCUUUGGAAUAGGACAUCAUAGAGGGUGAGAAUCCCGUAUUUGACCAUUACUUUCAGCUUUGUGAUACACUUUCAAAGAGUCGGAUUGUUUGGGAAUGCAGUCCAAAAUGGGUGGUAAAUUUCAUCUAAAGCUAAAUAUUGGCGAGAGACCGAUAGCGAACAAGUACCGUGAGGGAAAGAUGAAAAGGACUUUGAAAAGAGAGUUAAACAGUACGUGAAAUUGUCAAAAGGGAAGCGUUUGACACCAGUGUUGUUUUCUCGAAAAUCGAUUAAAAAGAGUUGGAUUUUGUGUUGUAUUGACUUUAUCAGCUUUCUUCACUCUUUUCCAGCUUUUUUUAAUGCACUUUUCGUUUAACAAGUCAACAUCAGUUUCUUUUGCUGUAAAAAGGUCAUUGGAAGGUGGCUUUCUCUUCGGAGAAAGUGUUUAUAGCCUUUGACUCAUGCAAUCGGAGAGACUGAGGUCUGCAGCGUAGAUCCUUCGGGGUUAGAUACAUUUGUGCUAAGUUAUAGCUUUUCAUAGACAACUUGUUGACUAUGUUUAGUCUUGUAGCUUACUCGCUUAUGCUAUUUUACCUACGCUUAGGAUGUUGAACUCUAUCACACACAG
rnacentral:rRNA from 1 species